CUAUGCCAUGUAAAGAUUUUGAAAAUAUACAGAAAGAGAGUUUUCUGCUUUCAAGUCACACUUACGUCACUGGCGAUAUUCCUUGAACUUUUUGCGGCAACAAUGGGAAUGGCAUCUGGUCUCAAAUCAUAGCCCUUGGCAAGGGUUUUCUUCCAGUCCGCCUUAUAAUGAGACUUGGAGAAAGGAAACAGUAGUUUAUUAUUUGGCCGCUCUACUUGGAUAGAUUUCUGUAGUUUCAAGCUUUUGUAGAAUAAGCACGCAAUCCUUUAUUUUCUUACAUUUUUCGUAACGAAGCAAUUUAGACUCCCAGAAAGGAGUGAACAGUCCAUUUAAAACGUUCAGACGUGGGACCGCCCAGAUUCGGUCAAGUCGUUUUAAAGAUUUCAGGGAUCUACCACCUGCCCCCUCCAGGCCGAGGGCAGCGGGCUCGGCGCGCCCCGGGGUCACGGCCUGGGCGACCCGGGCCCCACCCCCCCCCCCCCCCGCGGGUCCCACACUCACGUCACUCAGGUUGAGGGCGUUGACCUUGGCCUGGAUGAAGGGCGGCAGCGCGGGGUCCAGGGUGUACGUGUGCUUCCGCUUCUCCCCCUCCGCCUUGUACUUCAGCUGCAAUCACACGCGCGGGUCAGUCAGGGCGGGAGGCGGCUCCCCGCGCGGCCCCUCACGCGGCCUCUCACGCGGCCCCUCACGCGGCCCGUCGCUCCCCACCGCGCGCCCGGCCGGCGCCCCGGCCCCCGCCCCCGCCCCCCCCUCCCGGCGGGCCUUGCGGCGGGGCGUCCGCGUGAGGGGCCGCACAGGCCGCCUGUGCUCCCGGAGGCCACGCGGACGAGCCCGGACGCCGGAAGCGGCGCUGACCCGCGCGGGGUCCCAAGGGCAAGGCCGACGCCGACGCGAGGAGCCCAACGCGGCCCGCGGCCCAGAGCCCCCGGCGGGAGAGUGGGCGGCGGGGCCCGGAGCCGGCAGCCAAGGAAUUGCAAUGGACAUCUGGCCAGAAGACACAACCGGAGGUGUCCCGAUCCCACAAUCCCAAACAUCGUUGACUGCACUGGACUUACAUCACUGAGCGCUUUCUGGGCCUGGGCCACCCGUCUCAGCUCUGGGCUAUCGUUGUACGCGUAAAACAAGCUUUUGUCAGCUUCCCAGUCCUCAGUGUACAGUUUCUAAAUCAGAAAAGAGUGAGAAGUUAUGAGAUAGGAGCUCCCACUUAUACGAAAUACACAACUUUGAAUUCAUCCAUCAAUAGCAAGAAGAAC
rnacentral:lncRNA from 1 species